CCUACGGGAGGCAGCAGUGAGGAAUAUUGGUCAAUGGGCGCGAGCCUGAACCAGCCAAGUCGCGUGAGGGAAGACGGUCCUAUGGAUUGUAAACCUCUUUUGUCGGGGAGCAAAAGACGCCACGCGUGGCGUUCCGCGAGUACCCGAAGAACAAGCAUCGGCUAACUCCGUGCCAGCAGCCGCGGUAAUACGGAGGAUGCGAGGGUUAUCCGGAUUUAUUGGGUUUAAAGGGUGCGCAGGCGGAAGAUCAAGUCAGCGGUAAAAUUGAGAGGCUCAACCUCUUCGAGCCGUUGAAACUGGUUUUCUUGAGUGAGUGAGAAGUAUGCGGAAUGCGUGGUGUAGCGGUGAAAUGCAUAGAUAUCACGCAGAACUCCGAUUGCGAAGGCAGCAUACCGGCGCUCAACUGACGCUCAUGCACGAAAGUGUGGGUAUCGAACAGGAUUAGAUACCCCUGUAGUC
rnacentral:rRNA from 1 species